CCUACGGGAGGCAGCAGUAGGGAAUUUUCGUCAAUGGGCGCAAGCCUGAACGAGCGAUGCCGCGUGAGUGAAGAAGGCCUUCGGGUCGUAAAGCUCUGUUGCGGGGGAAAAAAGGCAGCAUCAGGAAAUGGGUGCUGACUGAUGGUGCCCCGCCAGAAAGUCACGGCUAACUACGUGCCAGCAGCAGCGGGAAUACGUAGGUGGCGAGCGUUAUCCGGAAGGAUUGGGCGUAAAGGGUGCGCAGGCGGUCCUGCAAGUCUGGAGUGAAACGCAUGAGCUCAACUCAUGCAUGGCUUUGGAAACUGGAGGACUGGAGAGCAGGAGAGGGCGGUGGAACUCCAUGUGUAGCGGUAAAAUGCGUAGAUAUAUGGAAGAACACCAGUGGCGAAGGCGGCCGCCUGGCCUGUUGCUGACGCUGAGGCACGAAAGCGUGGGGAGCAAAUAGGAUUAGAUACCCUAGUAGUC
rnacentral:rRNA from 1 species